ACGGUGAACAAGAAGUAGCAGGCACCCUUGAUGAUAACACACGUGUGCCGCAGGGUGGAGGAUAAACUGUGCGUCAUCUCCUCCCCACCGCUUCACGCUGGUCUCCUGACUUAUUACUGGGACCCAGUAAAGUUUGAACACCUGACCGUGGGACACCAAGGGCAUCGUGACCUGAACGGCACGUCACAUCCUGGGUGCAGUCAAGCUACCAAACCAUGACGCUGGGCACGCACAGCAGCAUCUGCCAUCCAUGGAGAAGUUGCAAGAAGGCAGAUGAGAUGGGAUCUACAGCACCUAAAAUAGUGGCUGGCACACAACGGGCAGCUCAUUAGACCUUGAAUGAAGUCACUGAGGUUACUCUGUGCCAGCUCUCUCAGCCUCUCUUUGCCUGGACUACCGGAUACAGCCUAGCGACUACCCAGCAGGAUGUGUCCCCCGGACCACGCACCCUCUGCCUCCCCUUAAGCUGGACACCUCUUACUGGCACCCUCACCUGACACGCC